rnacentral:tRNA from 1 species
GGGGCUAUAGCUCAGUUUGGAAGAGCGCAUGACUGGCAGUCAUGAGGUCAGGGGUUCGAGCCCCCUUAGCUCCA